AGCGCAUUUCUUCAGGGCGGAGCUCGACCGCCAGAACAAGUAGCCACGUUCAUCGACGCCAACCGCGAGGACGUGGUGGAAGGCCGCCGAUUGGGGGUCGAGCUCAUCUGCAGCGUGCUGCAGGUGCCCCCC
rfam:Micrococcales bacterium 73-15 SCNpilot_expt_1000_bf_scaffold_261, whole genome shotgun sequence.